UUCCAUCUGAAGGAAUCUGGAGACAGGUGCUGCAUGGCUGUCGUCAGCUCGUGCGUGAGAUGUUGGGUUAAGUCCCGCAACGAGCGCAACCCUUGCCUUUAGUUGCCAGCAGUUCGGCUGGGCACUCUAAAGGGACUGCCGGUGUUAAACCGGAGGAAGGUGGGGGAUGACGUCAAGUCCUCAUGGCCUUUAUGACCAGGGCUACACACGUACUACAAUGGCCGAUACAAAGGGCAGCGACACUGCGAGGUGAAGCCAAUCCCGUAAAAUCGGUCUCAGUCCGGAUUGGAGUCUGCAACUCGACUCCAUGAAGUUGGAAUCGCUAGUAAUCGUGGAUCAGCAUGCCACGGUGAAUACGUUCCCGGGCCUU
rnacentral:rRNA from 1 species